AUUGAACGCUGGCGGCAGGCCUAACACAUGCAAGUCGAACGGUAACAGGAAACAGCUUGCUGUUUCGCUGACGAGUGGCGGACGGGUGAGUAAUGUCUGGGAAACUGCCUGAUGGAGGGGGAUAACUACUGGAAACGGUAGCUAAUACCGCAUAACGUCGCAAGACCAAAGAGGGGGACCUUCGGGCCUCUUGCCAUCAGAUGUGCCCAGAUGGGAUUAGCUAGUAGGUGGGGUAACGGCUCACCUAGGCGACGAACCCUAGCUGGUCUGAGAGGAUGACCAGCCACACUGGAACUGAGACACGGUCCAGACUCCUACGGGAGGCAGCAGUGGGGAAUAUUGCACAAUGGGCGCAAGCCUGAUGCAGCCAUGCCGCGUGUAUGAAGAAGGCCUUCGGGUUGUAAAGUACUUUCAGCGGGGAGGAAGGCGCUGAGGUUAAUAACCUCAGUGAUUGACGUUACCCGCAGAAGAAGCACCGGCUAACUCCGUGCCAGCCGCCGCGGUAA
rnacentral:rRNA from 1 species